CUCAGUGGAGCAGAGCUCAGACCCUAACCUGCCCACUGCCCCCCACCCAGUCAGUCUCCUUCCAGCAGGCGCAGCUGGGAGGUCACCCUGGGCUGCUCUCCAGCAGGUGGGAAGCAGAACCAUGCUGGGUCCCCUCGCCUUCCUGUGCGCCCUCCUGUUUCCCGGUGGUGUGGCAUCACUCAGGAUGGAGCAGCCCACUAUGGUCGUGGGGCGCCUGGGCAGCUACGCCACGCUGUCCUGCGAAGUCAGCACCUCGGUCAGCUACAUGCACUGGUACCUCCACCAGGAGGGAAGUGCCCCCAAGUGGAUCCUCAGGUUGGAAAUGUCCACAUCAUCUGUUUAUAGAGAUAGAGGCUUGAAAGCAGACAAGGUCAACGCCACGUGUGACAAGUAUAUCAACACCUGUAACCUGUCCAUCCAGAGGCUGGAGAAGAGCGACGAGGGCGUGUACUACUGCGCUGCCUGGGAGUACCACAGCUGCACACGCUGCUCUGCUCCCUGAG